UUACCUGGGCUUGAACUGUGCCUGACAGGUGUAGAGAUACACCCUUCUUCGGACAGGUAUAGAGGUGCUGCAUGGUUGUCGUCAGCUCGUGUCGUGAGAUGUUGGGUUAAGUCCCGCAACGAGCGCAACCCUUACUCCCUGUUGCCAUCAGGUAAAGCUGAGCACUCUGGGGGAACUGCCGGUGACAAACCGGAGGAAGGUGGGGAUGACGUCAAAUCAUCACGGCCCUUAUGUCCAGGGCUACACACGUGCUACAAUGGCCGGUACAAAGAGACGCUAGACCGCGAGGUGGAGCAAAUCUCAAAAAACCGGUCUCAGUUCGGAUUGGAGUCUGCAACUCGACUCCAUGAAGUUGGAAUCGCUAGUAAUCGUGGAUCAGCACGCCACGGUGAAUACGUUCCCGGGCCUUGUACACACCGCCCGUCACACCAUCUGAGUUGGCAGCGCCCGAAGUGGCUGAUCUAACCCGCAAGGGGGGAAGGUCCCUAAGGUGAAGUCGGUGAAGAGGGUGAAGUCGUAACAAGGUAGCC
rnacentral:rRNA from 1 species